rnacentral:rRNA from 1 species
GUGGGGAAUAUUCCGCAAUGGACGAAAGUCUGACGGAGCAACGCCGCGUGAGUGAUGAAGGUUUUCGGACUGUAAAGCUCUGUUGUUUGGGACGAAAGUGCCUGUUGCGAACAGUUACGGGUAUUGACGGUACUAAACGAGGAAGCCACGGCUAACUACGUGCCAGCAGCCGCGGUAAUACGUAGGUGGCAAGCGUUGUCCGGAAUUAUUGGGCGUAAAGAGCAUGUAGGCGGGAAUCUAAGUCUGUUGUUAAAAUGCGGGGCUCAACCCCGUAUUGCGAUGGAAACUGGGUUUCUUGAGUGCAGGAGAGGAAAGAGGAAUUCCCAGUGUAGCGGUGAAAUGCGUAGAUAUCGGGAGGAACACCAGUGGCGAAGGCGGCUUCCUGGCACAAUACUGACGCUCAUGUGCGAAAGCUAGGGCAGCGAACGGGAUUAGAAACCCCAGUAGUCC